CAGUAGCCACGGGAAUACGGAGGGAGCUAGCGUUGUUCGGAAUUACUGGGCGUAAAGCGCACGUAGGCGGCUUUGUAAGUUAGAGGUGAAAGCCUGGAGCUCAACUCCAGAAUUGCCUUUAAGACUGCAUCGCUUGAAUCCAGGAGAGGUGAGUGGAAUUCCGAGUGUAGAGGUGAAAUUCGUAGAUAUUCGGAAGAACACCAGUGGCGAAGGCGGCUCACUGGACUGGUAUUGACGCUGAGGUGCGAAAGCGUGGGGAGCAAACAGGAUUAGAUACCCCUGUAGUCCCUGUCUCUUAUAC
rnacentral:rRNA from 1 species